AUUGAACGCUGGCGGCAUGCCUUACACAUGCAAGUCGAGCGGCAGCGCGGGGCAACCUGGCGGCGAGCGGCGAACGGGUGAGUAACACAUCGGAACGUGCCCAGACGUGGGGGAUAGCCCGGCGAAAGCCGGAUUAAUACCGCAUACGAUCUAAGGAUGAAAGCGGGGGACUCGCAAGGGCCUCGCGCGUUUGGAGCGGCCGAUGGCAGAUUAGGUAGUUGGUGGGUAAAGGCUUACCAAGCCUGCGAUCUGUAGCUGGUCUGAGAGGAUGAUCAGCCACACUGGGACUGAGACACGGCCCAGACUCCUACGGGAGGCAGCAGUGGGGAAUUUUGGACAAUGGGCGCAAGCCUGAUCCAGCCAUUCCGCGUGCAGGACGAAGGCCUUCGGGUUGUAAACCUCUUUCUAGCAGGGACGAAGCGAAAGUGACGGUACCUGCAAAGAAGACACCGGCCAACUACGUG
rnacentral:rRNA from 1 species